ACGCAUGUUGCAACCCCGGGCUUCGCUGAAAUUUGAAUGAAGUGAAAGCCCCAUUGCACGUGCAAAAUCGAUGUCAUUCGUGUUGCAGUUCAUCUCGAUAAUUCCACGAUUGAUCUGUGUCAAAGUAAUGUCUACAUCGUUUAAUAACAGUUAAAUCUCCUAAGUUUUUUACUUUUUUCCUUAAUUAUUGGCAGUGAUUACAUAUUAUCCGCGCUUCUGAGAUCUUCUAUGAAGCAUAAUGGACUGAAUUAUGGUUGAAUUUCUUUAUAUGAGCCAGAUCUUGAAUUUUAAUGAAUUAUUCUUAUUGUUUUUGAAUUUUUUAACAUUUGGUUGCCUAUGAUGAUAUAAUCCAAUUUGUUUGAGGUGUUGUGGAGCCAAGCCCCUGUUUACAGGGAUAACCUACUUGGUGAAGCUUCAUUCAUAUGACUUCAUUGGAUUUACUCUUCGAGUUUUACUAUACUCUCUACUUUCUUAGAUGGUUCUGGGUCUGAAUAACUCAAAUAUUUGUGUGUUGUCAUCAGCUUCAUCUCUUGUGUACCACGAGUUAGGAGUUAAAUAACAGCACUAAAUAG
rnacentral:lncRNA from 1 species